GUAGAAGUCUGUAGAGGUCUGUAGAGGGUAGAAGUCUGUAGACGUCUGUAGAGGGUAGAAGUCUGUAGACGUCUGUAGAGGGUAGAAGUCUGUAGACGUCUGUAGAGGGUAGAAGUCUGUAGACGUCUCUAGAGGGUAGAGGUCUGUAGACGUCUCUAGAGGGUAGAGGUCUGUAGACGUCUGUAGAGGGUAGAGGUCUGUAGACGUCUCUAGAGGGUAGAAGUCUGUAGACGUCUCUAGAGGGUAGAAGUCUGUAGACGUCUCUAGAGGGUAGAAGUCUGUAGACGUCUCUAGAGGGUAGAAGUCUGUAGACGUCUGUAGAGGGUAGAAGUCUGUAGACGUCUCUAGAGGGUAGAAGUCUGUAGACGUCUCUAGAGGGUAGAAGUCUGUAGAGGGUAGAAGUCUGUAGAAGUCUGUAGAGGGUAGAAGUCUGUCUGAGGGUAGAAGUCUGUAGACGUCUCUAGAGGGUAGAAGUCUGUAGACGUCUCUAGAGGGUAGAAGUCUGUAGAGGGUAGAAGUCUGUAGAGGGUAGAAGUCUGUAGAAGUCUGUAGAGGGUAGAAGUCU